rnacentral:rRNA from 1 species
GAUGAACGCUGGCGGCGUGCCUAAUACAUGCAAGUAGAACGCUGAAGCUUGGUGCUUGCACCGAGCGGAUGAGUUGCGAACGGGUGAGUAACGCGUAGGUAACCUGCCUCUUAGCGGGGGAUAACUAUUGGAAACGAUAGCUAAUACCGCAUAAAAGUCGAUAUCGCAUGAUAUUGAUUUGAAAGGUGCAAAUGCAUCACUAAGAGAUGGACCUGCGUUGUAUUAGCUAGUUGGUGAGGUAACGGCUCACCAAGGCGACGAUACAUAGCCGACCUGAGAGGGUGAUCGGCCACACUGGGACUGAGACACGGCCCAGACUCCUACGGGAGGCAGCAGUAGGGAAUCUUCGGCAAUGGGGGCAACCCUGACCGAGCAACGCCGCGUGAGUGAAGAAGGUUUUCGGAUCGUAAAGCUCUGUUGUAAGAGAAGAACGAGUGUGAGAGUGGAAAGUUCACACUGUGACGGUAACUUACCAGAAAGGGACGGCUAACUGCGUG